UACGUAGGGGGCAAGCGUUGUCCGGAUUCAUUGGGCGUAAGGGGUGCGUAGGCGGCGCGGUAAGUCGGGUGUGAAAUCUCGGAGCUUAACUCCGAAACUGCAUUCGAUACUGCCGUGCUUGAGGACUGGAGAGGAGACUGGAAUUUACGGUGUAGCGGUGAAAUGCGUAGAUAUCGUAAGGAAGACCAGUGGCGAAGGCGGGUCUCUGGACAGUUCCUGACGCUGAGGCACGAAGGCCAGGGGAGCAAACGGG
rnacentral:rRNA from 1 species